rnacentral:rRNA from 1 species
CCUACGGGAGGCAGCAGUGAGGAAUAUUGGUCAAUGGACGAGAGUCUGAACCAGCCAAGUAGCGUGAAGGAUGACUGCCCUAUGAGUUGUAAACUUCUUUUAUAUGGGAGUAAAAUGUUCCACGUGUGGGAUUUUGUAUGUACCAUAUGAAUAAGGAUCGGCUAACUCCGUGCCAGCAGCCGCGGUAAUACGGAGGAUCCGAGCGUUAUCCGGAUUUAUUGGGUUUAAAGGGUGCGUAGGUGGUUUGAUAAGUCAGGUGUGAAAGUUUGAUGCUCAACAGUAAAAUUGCAGUUGAUACUGGCAGUCUAGAGUACAGUAGAGGUAGGCGGAAUGUGUGGUGUAGCGGUGAAAUGCAUAGAUAUUACGAAGAACUCCGAUUGCGAAGGCAGUUCACUGGACUGCAACUGACACUGAGGCACGAAAGUGUGGGUAUCAAACAGGAUUAGAUACCCGAGUAGUC